rnacentral:rRNA from 1 species
GAUGAACGCUGGCGGCGUGCCUAAUACAUGCAAGUCGAGCGAACAGACGAGGAGCUUGCUCCUCUGACGUUAGCGGCGGACGGGUGAGUAACACGUGGAUAACCUACCUAUAAGACUGGGAUAACUUCGGGAAACCGGAGCUAAUACCGGAUAAUAUAUUGAACCGCAUGGUUCAAUAGUGAAAGACGGUUUUGCUGUCACUUAUAGAUGGAUCCGCGCCGCAUUAGCUAGUUGGUAAGGUAACGGCUUACCAAGGCAACGAUGCGUAGCCGACCUGAGAGGGUGAUCGGCCACACUGGAACUGCGACACGGUCCAGACUCCUACGGGAGGCAGCAGUAGGGAAUCUUCCGCAAUGGGCGAAAGCUUGACGGAGCAACGCCGCGUGAGUGAUGAAGGUCUUCGGAUCGUAAACCUCUGUUAUUAGGGAAGAACAAAUGUGUAAGUAACUAUGCACGUCUUGACGGUACCUAAUCAGAAAGCCACGGCUAACUACGUG